rnacentral:rRNA from 1 species
AUGAUUGCAGGAACACCUUGUGGGAUCCAGUACUUCGAAGAGCUUGAAGAUCAUUGUUACAGGGGUAAUGAGGUUAAGCUCUAUGAACACCAGGUAGACGCUCUCUUUGCUAUGUUCUGGCACAAGGAGCCAGACAUCAAGUACUACAUGUGCACAAUCAAUAAAACAUUUGCUAAGCCAGGCCACCGCAUGGUACAAUAUACUGAAGACAAUCUGCUGGACUACAUUGAUCCCAACAAUGAUACACUCAUGGUCAGGCUUGCAGAUGCCCGUCUACGCGUCGAAUGUCGCAUUAUGCUAGGAACUGACAAGAGGGCCACUAUAACCACCAGCUGGUCUGAGUUUCGUCGCCGUGCCAACAUUCGCGAAAGAGACAUCUGUGCUUUUCAUUUCAGGGUCACUUUAAAGCGCCGCGUGUUCUCACCGUGCACUGCCUCUAGAUCCACCAUCGAAGACACCGCAGUUCCUGUGUGA